rnacentral:rRNA from 1 species
GGGGAAAGAUUAAUAAUUUAAAUUUAAUAAAAGAAAUUUUAAAAGUUGAAAAUAUUUAAUGGGGGUUAAAGUAUUUUUAAUAGAAAAAAUUUUUAAGUUUAUAGUAGAUUAGUAUUGUGGGAGAAUUUUUAAAUAAUUGAAAAUUAAUUAAAAAAAAAGUAGCUUUAAUUUAGUGUAUCUUGUGUAUCAGAGUUUAUUAAAUAAAUUAUUAGAAUUAAUAAUUCUCGAAUUAAAAAGAGUUAAUUAAUUAAUAAAGUUAUUGUAUCAAAAAUAUUUUUAAUAAUUAAAUAGAAAUGAAAUGUUAAUCGUUUUUUAAGAUAUCUAGUUAUUUUAGAAAAAAAUUUAAUUUUAAAUUUAAUUUAUUUAUAUUUUUAUUAGUGUUAAUAUGUAAAAUAUUAAAAUUUAAUAAUUUAAGGGAUAAGCUUUAAAUUAAAUAAUUAUAAUAUAAUUAUAUUUUUUGAAAAAAUUUUAAAAUUUAUAUUGUUUAUAAAUUAUAACUUAUUAUAAAUAAUUUUUUUUUUAUUAAAUAAAAUUUUUUUUAUAAAUUUAAUUUUUUAUAAAAUAAUAAUAAAAAUAAGAAUAAAAUUAAUUAUAAUGAUAAAAUUAGUAUUUAAUAUAGUUUAAUUUAUUAUAUUUUUAAAAAUUAUUUAAAAGGAAUUCGGCAAAAAUUUAUAUUCACUUGUUUAUCAAAAACAUGUCUUUUUGAUAAAUAAUUUAAAGUCUAAUCUGCCCACUGAUUUAAUAAUUAAAGGGCUGCAGUAUUUUGACUGUACAAAGGUAGCAUAAUCAUUAGUCUCUUAAUUGGUGACUUGUAUGAAAGAUUGGAUGAAAUAUAUACUGUCUCUAAUUUAUUUAAUGAACUUAAUUUUUUAGUUAAAAAGCUAAAAUUUUAUUAAAAGACGAGAAGACCCUAUAGAGUUUUAUAAAUGAAAUAUUUUUUAAAUUAUAUAAAUUUUUAAAUUUAAAUUAUUUAAUUUAUUUUAUUGGGGUGAUAAAAAAAUUAAUAUAACUUUUUUUAAAUUUUUAACAAAAAUAUUUGGUUUAAUGAUCCAUAACUUAUGAUUAUAAGAAAAAACUACCUUAGGGAUAACAGCGUAAUUUUUUUUUUUAGUUCAUAUAAAAAAAAAAGUUUGCGACCUCGAUGUUGGAUUAAGAUAAAAUUUAAAUGCAAAAGUUUAAAAUUUUGAUCUGUUCGAUCAUUAAAAUCUUACAUGAUCUGGGUUCAAACCGGUGUAAGCCAGGUUGGUUUCUAUCUUUAGUUAAAUAAAAUAUUUUAGUACGAAAGGAUCAAAUAUUUAAAAUAAUUUUAUUAUAUUGAAUAUUAUUAAUAUAAAAAUUUAAUUAU